GAUGAGAAUACACAAGCGACUCAUUGACUUGCACAGCCCUUCUGAGAUUGUUAAACAGAUUACUUCCAUCAGUAUUGAACCAGGAGUGGAAGUCGAAGUCACCAUUGCAGAUGCCUAAGUCAACAACUGUUUUAAUAAAUUGAUAUUCAGUUGUUAAAUUCUGUUGGCUUUUGUUAUUAAUUUUACCUUGCUUUUCAGGUAUCAAAACCAUUUCCUAGAAACCACCAAACCAAUGUAUUUUUGCCCUUAUUUCAAUCUGAAAACUGAAUUCCCCUAAUUCUAGUGUAUGAAACUGCAUUGAUUGUGCAGUUCUAUGUAACAUGGUGGCUCAUAACUUUGGUUACAUGUUGGAAAUUUUAUGCACAGCAUUAAUUCCUAUUCUGAUUUAUUGUAUGGGGUGCAUUAAUCUAUGAAAAAGCUUUAGGGGGAUUCUGAUAUAAAGUUAUAGUGGGCAGGUAGUAAAUUGGGAAAAUGAAGAAAUAAUUUACAGUCCUGGCUUUGCCGAUUUGUUGGCACUUAAUUUUCAAAAUGUUCGGGAAUCAAUAUUGGUUAUAUUUUUUAAUUUUUUUAAUAUUUGUUUUUUUAGUUGUAGUCAGACAUAAUACCCUUUUUUUAUUUUUAUGUGGUGCUGAGGAUUGAACCCAGGGCCCUGCGUGUGCUAGGUGAGUGCUCUACCGCUGAGCCACAAUCCCAGUCCCCCAAAAUUCAAUUCAAUAUUUUUAAAUGUGAAUUUGAACUAUAAAACUUUUUUUGAGAUUAACUGUAACUCAGUGGAUUUCAACAAAUUAUCAGCUUGAGGAAUAGUCAAAACUGGACCAUAACUAUUUCUGGAAGUUAUGCGAUAUGGUGUAGUUAGGUUCCUGAGGAAAGCAAUGACCCGGUUUUAUUAGAAAACCUGAACUUGGUUAGCUCUUCUAGAAAAAGUUUGAAAAAAGGAUUCUCAUUAAUCAAAGACCAGGAAUCAAACCUACAGAUAGGUAGCCCAAUUUUAAGCAGUAUGGAGUGCUAGAGAGCUCAGGUCAUUUUAAAAACUUAAGUACCUUGUUAUGGAAGAUUCUCAAGUAGAUAGAGACUUCGUUAUAUUUUUCUUGGUAUUGGGGGUUGAACCUAGAGCCUGUUAGGCAAGCAGUACACCAGUGAGCUAUACCCCCAGGCCUUUUGUAAUUUUUUAAGACCGGUACUCAGUAAAUUGGCUGCUCUCUAACUUUGGUGUCUUGCCUCAUCCUUGAAUAGCUGGGAUUAAAGGCAUGUGCCACCAUGCCCAGCAGAAGCAGCUUUAACAAUGUUCAGUAUAUUGCAACAUAGAAAGCAAUGAGAUUUGUUCAGUCUCCUAAGAACUGAUUAGAAAAUCUUAAUUCCAUGAAAACACUUAGCCACUUAGAGCCAAAGUAGAAUGAAAAAUAUUUCAGUGAAUCCUAAGAUAACAGUUUUACAGCUUCUGUGGAGUUAUGAGUUUUUAGCAGUUGAAUUUCUUCACAAAUAGGUGAAGGAGUUUGAUUAAAGCUUUAGGUAAUACUUUUGGAAUCCUGUCAGUCAAAAUACACCACUUAAAAUGUUGGGAACUGCUGUUAACCAAUUUCUCAAAACAUUUAAAAAUGCAUACUUGGAAACAAUCCCUGCCAGGGGUUAGGACUAUAAGAAAGGAAGGAUGGGUUCAAUUGUAAUGAUGCCCAUCCAUUAUAUAUAAAUCUGUUUCAUUUUUUAUUUAAUUGGUGCAUUAUGGUAAAGAUGAGAUUUGUUGUUACAUACUGGUACAUGCACACAAUUUAACAAUCUUUAGCUAGUAUUUUUCCCCAGCACCUGCCUCUUGCUUCCCAACCUCUGGUCCCUUUUCUCUACUGAUCUCCCUUUGGUUUCAUGGGAUCCUUGACCCCUCCACCUUUCUUUUUCCUCUCUAGUUUACACAUUUGAGAGACAGCAUAUGACCUUUGAUCUUCCGUUUGUCUUUGAUCUUCUGUUUGUAAUUAAGGUCUCUAGUUCUAUCCAUUUUACUAUAAAUGGCAUAAUUUCAUUUUUCCAUGGAUGCCCAGGGUUUUAGAAUGUUAACAGGUUUUUGUAUGGAGGGGGAGUUACAGGAAGGUUUAAAAUGGGAACCUCUCUAGUCAGUCACCUUAGGAUUUAGAAUACUGCUUUGCUUUUGUUUUAGAAAUAUGACCUAGCAAUUACCAUGGAAAUUAAAACCACCAUGACUGUUCAUUGCUGGAUCAGACUUCUUAAUCUGACGUCCUCAGAAGAUCUGUGUGUGCUCUGGAUGGAAAUGAAUAGGAAAGAAGAUGCAAACGUGAAAAGCCCUGUUCUAGAAUUAUUACGCACUUCCUUGAUGCAUUUUCAUGAUUGUUGGUUGAUUUCCUGUUCUGAAAUUACCUGUGCAUUUAUCACUGGGAAACACAAGAGGCAACGCAACUACCUAUAGCUGUCUUUGCUGUUCCUGCAAAAACCGAAUAACAAUGUGCAAUGACCAAUUACCAAACUUUGAAAGAAGUGGUAUGAUUAAUUAUUAUGUGCAUAUUAUUUACUUAGUGACUUAGGGACUAAAUAGCUAACAAUAAAGUUUAUACUUUGUGCAAUUACUUACAGUGAAUAAGUCAAGAUUACCAAUCUUUGAACUGUGUUAUUGGAGGACUUAUAUUCACCUAAACUGUCAGAACUGAAAUUCAUGCUUAUCAGAACCUUGAAAAUGUUGUUCUGCAUAUCUUUGUACAUAGGACUCUGCACAAUGUUUGGGAAAUCCUCCCUCCCUCACUCCCUCUCCAAGUUGUUCCAGAACAACAGGAAUCAGGCAUGGCAAAUGAUCGCAGCAUGUGAGAUAACUGGUGCAACCAGUGACUGUCACUUUCUUUCACCAAAUGAGGCAGCCAUUCCUGAUGGAGGGACAAGUCACCCUGAGUGCUAAGGCUGCUGCUGAUACUGCCCUUCCGUGGCUGUGUAGAAAUCAUCCAGGACACUCUGAGGAGUCUGUCGACCCCAGCACCCAAGACAGUGCAGCUUCUAGCUCCUCUCACACACGGCUCUGGCUCCCAGCCAUGAUUUGGCUUGUCCUGCAUGUGCUCUGUGGACUGUUGGCUCAGCACACAGACCUGGCUGCUGUCACCCGAGAAGCUACGUGAUGCUUUAGACAAAUAAUGAAGUGUUGUGUGGAUGACCUGGCUCUGGAAGUCUUGCUUGAGUGCUCUUGUGUUCAUUCUAAUGACUAUGGCUUUCCUGAGAAAUUGGCAAAUAACAGGCUGUCUAGUUUGGUGAGCACCCUCCGCCCCCCUUUAAUGAGAGGCACCCACAUUUGAGUCAAAUGACUGAGGGAAAAAAAGGAAUCAAAGGAACCUCACGGAGGAGCUGAAUGUGAUCUCUCAAGCAAAGCUAAAAUCUACCCCAGGAAAUUCCAGCCCAAAUGAGAAACUGGAACUGAAAAUGUAACCUGUCUUCGAAUUGGCUAGCUGGAAAACAUUUGUCAUCAAGACAGGCAGUGAGAAAGAUUAAAUUUUUAAAAUCUGCCAAAAAAGCAGGAAAGAAUAAAAAUCUGAUUUUUCCUGUC